rnacentral:lncRNA from 1 species
GCGCAGGCGCCGUCGUGUGGAACGACGUUCGCCAUUUUGGUUGCGGGCAAACGGUCUUUUUUCCGUACUCACUGAAGUGUGGGCUGGGGACGUCCUCCCUCCCCUCCCGACCCUCUGAGGCAGCGCUCCGGGCCACAGACCUGAGCUUCUCUCCGCCCAGUACUUUCCCGAUGAGCCGGGGAGAGGGUUAAGUUCCGCCUUGGAAUAAAACUGCAGACGUAUGGAAAUACGGAACCAGAUCUCUGCUGAAAAACCGGCUGGACAACAUUCAGCAGCUUGUCCUUUUUGCCCGGAAUAAAAGACUUUCAUUCCCUUCCCUUUUUAUGUAAGCCAACAAAAGAGGAAGCUGUUAUUUAACAAACGAGAAGUGAUUGUCCUACUUAAGACGAGAAGUCAGCAGGCAAACUAACAAAUGGUCUUCUACAAAAAUCAGUCCAGAAUUGUGUUGGUGUUUGGAGAAGAUGAUCAUUUUCAUACAUCUUUCCAAUCAACUUGUGCAUUUGAGCGAUUCUAUACAAUAGAGGUCAUAAGAGGUUUUUGUUUCCAUCGGUUCCUGAGCAAUUGGUCUUUUUUUAAUAACAUCUCCCCGUCCUUUAUUAUGACUCUGUUAGAAACCAUUCCACUGUAAAACUCAGACAAAGCUGCAGGAUUUUUAUUCCUGUCUCAGACGGUGAACCCUGGACUCUACCCUACAAACCCUGAGCCCUGCCGGGUUCUCUUUCUGCCCACGCUGAAUUAUUUAAAAUAGUUCCCAAACCGCAAAGCUCAGCAGUAACCGAAAGGAACAAGGACUGAAAACACCCGUCAUCUCAGAGAACUGUCUAGCCCUUUGACUGGAGGAAUUACACACGUUGAAAAAGAUAAGGACAAUAGCAAUUCAUCAUGGUUUAUCCUGCCUCUGCAAUGUUCUAGACAAAUUAACUUGAAGAACUAAAAUAGACCCUCAUUUGUCUCCUCACAAUUCAGUCAUUGCAAGAUAACAGAGACUGCAUUGCUGCUUUGUGGUUAUGCUGAAUAUUUUUGUUAUUGGCCAGUCACUGAAGUGAGAAAAAUCUAUAUGGCUUGUCAAAUUUAUUCCUUUUGUAUUUCGCCCCCUGCUGGUGUAGCUCGUGUGCAAAUUAAAAAAAAAAAGUAUGUCACUGUAAAACAUGUUUAUUGUCUGAGAAUGAAAGUAAAAAAAAAUGCGUGUAAAA